GAUGAACGCUGGCGGCAUGCCUAAUACAUGCAAGUCGAACGAAAUUUAAGGUUGCUUGCAACCAAGAAUUUAGUGGCGAAUGGGUGAGUAACACGUGGGUAACCUGCCCCAAAGCGGGGGAUAACAUUUGGAAACAGAUGCUAAUACCGCAUAACCACAGAAACCACAUGGUUUCUGUGUCAAAGAUGGUUUCGGCUAUCACUUUGGGAUGGACCCGCGGCGUAUUAGCCAUUUGGUAAGGUAAUGGCUUACCAAGGCAAUGAUACGUAGCCGAACUGAGAGGUUUAUCGGCCACAUUGGGACUGAGACACGGCCCAAACUCCUACGGGAGGCAGCAGUAGGGAAUCUUCCACAAUGGACGAAAGUCUGAUGGAGCAACGCCGCGUGAGUGAAGAAGGUUUUCGGAUCGUAAAACUCUGUUGUCAGAGAAGAACGUGUGCGAGAGUAACUGUUCGUGCAGUGACGGUAUCUGGCCAGAAAGCCACGGCUAACUACGUGCCAGCAGCCGCAGUAA
rnacentral:rRNA from 1 species